AACGUAGGAGACAAGCGUUAUCCGGAGUUACUGGGCGUAAAGGGCGUGUAGGCGGUUUCGUAAGUCUGGCGUGAAAUUUCUCGGCUUAACCGAGGCAGGUCGUCGGAUACUGCGGAACUUGAGGACGGUAGAGGCGUGUGGAAUUCCGGGUGUAGUGGUGAAAUGCGUAGAGAUCCGGAGGAACACCAGUGGCGAAGGCGACACGCUGGGCCGUACCUGACACUGAUGCGCGACAGCAUGGGGAGCAAACAGG
rnacentral:rRNA from 1 species